UGGACUUGACGGAGCAGCAGGGCAGGAAGGAACUGGAAGGGCUACAGCAGCUGCUGCAGAACGUCAAGUCUGAGUUGGAGAUGGCCCAGGAAGACCUGUCCAUGACCCAGAAGGAUAAAUUUAUGCUCCAGGCAAAAGUGUCGGAGCUGAAGAACAACAUGAAGACCCUGCUCCAGCAGAACCAGCAGCUCAAGCUGGACCUACGCCGCGGCGCGGCCAAGACGGUACUCAGGCCCGCGUCCCUCCCGGGGUAGCCGACGUGCGCUGUAGAUGCUCUCGGACAGGAGGCUGGCAGACGUAGAAAGGAGCCGAAAGGCGAGGCCAGCUCUUCCAACCCUGCCACGCCCAUCAAGAUCCCGGACUGCCCAGUUCCCGCCUCGCUGCUGGAGGAGCUGCUGAGACCACCGCCCGCCGUGAGCAAGGAGCCCCUCAAGAACCUGAACAGCUGCCUCCAGCAGCUCAAGCAGGAGAUGGACAGCCUGCAGCGCCAGAUGGAGG
rnacentral:lncRNA from 1 species